rnacentral:rRNA from 1 species
AGUGAACGCUGGCGGUAGGCCUAACACAUGCCAGUCGAACGGCAGCACAGUAAGAGCUUGCUCUUACGGGUGGCGAGUGGCGGACGGGUGAGGAAUACAUCGGAAUCUACUUUUUCGUGGGGGAUAACGUAGGGAAACUUACGCUAAUACCGCAUACGACCUACGAGUGAAAGCAGGGGAUCUUCGGACCUUGCGCGAUUGAAUGAGCCGAUGUCGGAUUAGCUAGUUGGCGGGGUAAAGGCCCACCAAGGCGACGAUCCGUAGCUGGUCUGAGAGGAUGAUCAGCCACACUGGAACUGAGACACGGUCCAGACUCCUACGGGAGGCAGCAGUGGGGAAUAUUGGACAAUGGGCGCAAGCCUGAUCCAGCCAUACCGCGUGGGUGAAGAAGGCCUUCGGGUUGUAAAGCCCUCUUGUUGGGAAAGAAAAGCAGCAGGUUAAUACCCCGCUGUUCUGACGGUACCCAAAGAAUAAGCACCGGCUAACUUCGUG